rnacentral:rRNA from 1 species
UACGGAGGAUGCGAGCGUUAUCCGGAUUUAUUGGGUUUAAAGGGUGCGUAGGCGGGAUGCCAAGUCAGCGGUAAAAAUGCGGUGCUCAACGCCGUCGAGCCGUUGAAACUGGCGUUCUUGAGUGGGCGAGAAGCAUGCGGAAUGCGUGGUGUAGCGGUGAAAUGCAUAGAUAUCACGCAGAACUCCGAUUGCGAAGGCAGCAUACCGGCGCCCUACUGACGCUGAGGCACGAAAGCGUGGGUAUCGAACAGG